AAACAACUGAAAGGAGGUGAUCCAGUGUCGAGAGUAAUGCUGGAGAGUGGUGUCGUGAAAUUCGGAAGGACGCGCCACUGAGGCAGCCUUCGAGGUAGUCUUCCGACGGGCUUAUGCGCCCAUGACACCUCACCUCCAAGAUAGCUCGGAGAGCCGUUUCCCGACCGGGAGACGGCUC
rnacentral:misc_RNA from 1 species